rnacentral:rRNA from 1 species
CCUACGGGGGCUGCAGUUGGGAAUCUUGCACAAUGGGGGAAACCCUGAUGCAGCGACGCCGCGGGGAGGAAGAAGGGUCUAGGCUCGUAAACUCCUUUUUCAGGGAAAGACUUAGGACGGUACCCUGAGAAUAAGCUCCGGCUAACUACGUGCCAGCAGCCGCGGUAAGACGUAGGGAGCGAGCGUUGUCCGGAUUUACUGGGCGUAAAGAGCACGUAGGCGGUCUGUUAAGUGAGAAGUGAAAUCUCCAGCUCUCAACGCGGCAACGUCUUUUCAUACUGGCAGACUUGCGGGAUGCAGAGGCAAGUCGAAUUCCUGGUGUACCGGUGCCAUGGGUUGAUAUCAGGAGGAAUACCAAUGGCGAAGGCAGCUUGCUGGGCAUCAUCUGACGCUGAGGUGCGAAAGCGUGGGUAGCAAACAGGAUUAGAUACCCUAGUCGUC